UACGUAGGUGACAAGCGUUGUCCGGAUUUACUGGGCGUAAAGAGCGCGCAGGCGGUCGAUCAAGUCGAGUGUGAAAGCCCCCGGCUCAACUGGGGAGGGUCAUUCGAUACCGAUCGACUCGAAGGCAGGAGAGGGUAGUGGAAUUCCCGGUGUAGUGGUGAAAUGCGUAGAUAUCGGGAGGAACACCAGUGGCGAAGGCAGCCCCCUGGGUUAACACUGACGCUCAGGCACGAAAGCGUGGGGAGCAAACAGG
rnacentral:rRNA from 1 species